rnacentral:rRNA from 1 species
GACGAACGCUGGCGGCGUGCUUAACACAUGCAAGUCGAACGGAAAGGCCCUGCUUGCAGGGUGCUCGAGUGGCGAACGGGUGAGUAACACGUGGGUGAUCUGCCCCUUACUUUGGGAUAAGCCUGGGAAACUGGGUCUAAUACUGGAUAGGACCAUGCUGUAGGUGGUGUGGUGGAAAGAUUAGUUUCGGUAAGGGAUGAGCUCGCGGCCUAUCAGCUUGUUGGUGGGGUAAUGGCCUACCAAGGCGUCGACGGGUAGCCGGCCUGAGAGGGUGGGCGGCGACAUUGGGACUGAGAUACGGCCCAGACUCCUACGGGAGGCAGCAGUGGGGAAUAUUGCACAAUGGGCGCAAGCCUGAUGCAGCGACGCCGCGUGGGGGAUGACGGCCUUCGGGUUGUAAACUCCUUUCAGCCAUGACGAAGCCCUUGUGGUGACGGUAGUGGUAGAAGAAGCACCGGCUAACUACGUG